rnacentral:rRNA from 1 species
UACGGGGGGGGGCAAGCGUUGUUCGGAAUUACUGGGCGUAAAGGGCGCGUAGGCGGCCUGCUAAGUCGGAUGUGAAAUCCCUCGGCUCAACCGAGGAACUGCAUCCGAUACUGGCGGGCUUGAAUCCGGGAGAGGGAUGUGGAAUUCCAGGUGUAGCGGUGAAAUGCGUAGAUAUCGAGAGGAACACCUGCGGCGAAGGCGGGUUGCUGGGCUGACACUGAGGCGCGACAGCGUGGGGAGCAAACAGG